rnacentral:tRNA from 1 species
GGAGAAAUACCCAAGUGGCUGAAGGGGUGGGCUUGGAAAGCUCAUAGGCUUGUAACAGGGCGCGAGGGUUCGAAUCCCUCUUUCUCCGCCA